GAAGUUAAGAUCUAAUGCAAACAGAUAGUGCAGACAAUUUGUUGCAAAUUAGUUUACUUUUUGUAUAAAUUAUCUUCUUGUUUACCUUAGUGUGAAAUCCCCCUUUAAGCUGCUUGUAAGUUAUGCACAACUGGGUUAGCUUUAAAAAAAAGCUCAUGUAUAAGGUUGCAAUAUGUUUUCUAUCUGUACUCUAGGGCUAUUGCACUCAGUACCUACCACUGCCACCUAGACCAGUGGUCUCCAACGCGGUGCCCGCCAGGGCAUCUAUGUGCGCCUGUCUACUGAUGACGCUGCUUCUCGGCGGCAUUUCGGCAGUGGUGCUUCUUGGUGUUGCCGCUUCUCAGAGGCAUUUUGGCAGCUGCUUAGCUGGCGGCUGCGCUCCCCAGCGGCAUUUCAGCGGCUAGUCAUCUGGCACCCGCCACACUGAAAGUCUAGGUUAAGGCACAAGCUCUUCCACCUAGGAGAAGGAACCAUUCACAAGGCUGCACAAGGAGCAGCUCCAACAGCAGCAUAAAGAAAACAUGUGUGGCUUGUGUGAAGAGAGGAGAUGAUGGAAGUGGGAGGGGCUUAGGUACCUAGAUAUUACAGUGAUGGGGGCCCAUAGAUAGAUUAUAUAGUCUGCUCCUACAGAUAAGAGCCUAGCUGAAGAGAACUGACAAUAGCCAUGGGAUUUAUCCAGCCAGUAGGGGCAGCAGCUCUGGCAAUAUUAAAAGCCGCAUGUAAAUACCUCCCAAAAGUUGGGCAGAUCCGGGGGAAGAGGCUACUUACUGGUCCACGGCUUCUCUUUAUGCUCUGUUUUAUCUCUCUGUUUGAUGAAUAGGAGGGGAUGGGAAGGGGAACAGCUUUUCCCCCCUCACCAGGACAGAAUAGGGGAAAUGGAAGAUCUCUAGGAUAGAAAGAAUAGAGGGAGAGAAAGAGAGGGAAGCUAUCAGGUGGGGAGGACUUUAAAAAAAAAGUCUGAUUAAACAUAAAUGAGACAGUUUUAAUAGAAGCUGAGACUAAGUCUGAAACUAAGCAGUCAGGAUAACGGUAUCAACCGCUCACACCACAGAAAAAGCAAUAUAGAAUCCUGCAGAUCUCAGUCUGGGGCACUGGACAUCUGAAAUGCUGGUCAUGGGAAGGGCCUCCUGCAAUGGGUGCGUUUGAAAGAUGGGUGUCUGGGGCAUUCUUCUAGGAAACAUACAUCAAAACAAAGCCUUCCAAUGAGGAAAACUUCCCUGUUUAAGUCUGACCCUAUGAAAAAGUCCACAUGCAUUUGGGUGAAAUUAGAAGCAAAAUAAAUAUAAUACUGA